GACCCGACCCGACCGGGUUAGUUGACGCACGCACACCCCCCAAAUUGAUUCCGUGCACCGAAAGCGAUGGCCAGAAAUUCCACCGGCCGCACGCAUUCAUUCGAUUCGUCGACUCCCGCAACGCCUCUCGAAUUCGCUUUCCUUCCUUCCUUCCGCUCGCUGCAGAAUCGACGCGAUUGAGGAGCCGAUCCGACCCGAUCGAUGUUGCAGAGACCGAGACGUCGCUGCGAGGGCACUGCCAUGGGCGCCAUCACCCUCGACCUCCGCCCCGGCCUCGGAAUCGGACCUUUCUCCCUCGGGAUGCCGAUAUGCGAAGCGUUUGCGCAGAUUGAGCAGCAACCGAACAUCUACGAUGUCGUCCAUGUCAAGUAUUAUGACGAGGAUCCACUAAAGCUGGAUAUCGUCAUCAGUUUUCCCGAUCAUGGUUUUCAUCUUCGUUUCGAUCCUUGGUCGCAGAGGUUACGCCUGAUUGAGAUUUUUGAUGUCAAGAGGCUUCAGAUGCGCUACUCCAAUUCCCUCAUUGGAGGACCAUCGACUCUUGCCACAUUUGUAGCUGUCUACGCACUUUUUGGACCAACUUUUCCUGGAAUCUACGACAAAGAUAGAGGUGUCUACACUCUUUUCUACCCGGGGUUAUCUUUUGCUUUUCCUAUUCCCGGCCAAUAUACAGAUUGCUGCCAUGACAGAGAAGCGGAACUGCCCCUAGAGUUUCCUGAUGGCACCACUCCAGUAACAUGCCGCGUGUCUAUAUAUGAUAGCUCCACAGACAAGAAAGUUGGUGUAGGAUCUUUAAUGGAUAAAGCUUCUGUCCCUCCCUUACCUCCCGGUAGUCUCUACAUGGAGGAAGUUCAUGUUAAGCUUGGAGAGGAAUUGCAUUUCACCGUUGGUGGACAAAGUAUUCCUUUUGGUGCAUCACCUCAGGAUGUGUGGACUGAAUUAGGUCGUCCGUGUGGAAUUUAUCAAAAACAGGUUGAUCAAAUGGUAAUACACUCUGCCUCCGACCCACGUCCAAGGACAACUCUCUGCGGGGAUUAUUUCUACAAUUAUUUCACUCGAGGCUUAGAUAUCUUAUUUGAUGGCCAGACUCACAAAAUCAAAAAGUUUGUAUUGCAUACAAACUAUCCUGGGCAUGCGGAUUUCAAUUCAUAUAUAAAAUGCAACUUCAUUGUCUAUGGUUCCGACCUUGGUGGUUCCUUCCAGGAAGUGAAUGGUUCUAAAAACAGGAUUACUCCAGGCACAAAAUGGGAGCAAGUGAAGGAGAUCCUUGGAGACUGUGGUCGAGCUGCUAUACAAACUCAAGGUUCUACUAGCAAUCCAUUUGGAUCUACUUUCGUGUAUGGUUAUCAGAAUGUUGCUUUCGAGGUGAUGAAGAAUGGCUAUAUAGCAACUGUGACUCUCUUCCAGUCAUGAUUACUGUUGUAAGUCCUGCUCUUCCUUUUAAAUGUCUUUGCUUAUUAACAAUCUCACAAUAUUUUGUGGUUCCAGUUAUGCAGGCACUCCGCUCAAACUGGCGUAAAUUUGUACAGUUGACUUCGGUUGAUUGCCGAUUUGGCCAAUAAUUGGCAGGACAGCUGGACGCUUGGGGGGAAAAAUUGUACAGCUCUGUAUCAAUGUACAUAGUUUAUUCAUUCUAUUAGCUCUCUGCUUUUGCAUGUAAUGUAAUCAUAAUCUAUCAUCAUUGACAUCUUUGACAUUUUCGCAAAUCCUGAUUUCCAUUCCGUUUCUCA